rnacentral:rRNA from 1 species
UAGGGAAUCUUCCGCAAUGGCCGCAAGUCUGACGGAGCAACGCCGCGUGAGUGAAGAAGGAUUUCGGUUCGUAAAACUCUGUUGUUAGAGAAGAACAGCGCAUAGAGUAACUGUUAUGCGUGUGGCGGUAUCUAACCAGAAAGCCACGGCUAACUACGUGCCAGCAGCCGCGGUAAUACGUAGGUGGCAAGCGUUGUCCGGAUUUAUUGGGCGUAAAGCGAGCUCAGGCGGUCAAUUAAGUCUGAUGUGAAAGCCCCCGGCUCAACCGGGGAGGGUCAUUGGAAACUGGUUGACUUGAGUGCAGAAGAGGAGAGUGGAAUUCCAUGUGUAGCGGUGAAAUGCGUAGAUAUAUGGAGGAACACCAGUGGCGAAGGCGACUCUCUGGUCUGUAACUGACGCUGAGGCUCGAAAGCGUGGGUAGCAAACAGG